UUUCUCAUUAUUAGUUUUCAUAGUGAACCAUAGAAACCAACUGAUAUGUCUAAAUUGUUCUUGAGGGCAGCAACGCAUCUCGUUCCGGUUCGAUCAGGUAGGGUGAGGUUGUACUUGACUACUUGCAUUCGACUUUCAAUUUAUGUGGAGCUCUCGAUUUUAUUUUAAUCGAUAUAUGUGGUUUACAGCUAAUUGAAUUGUAGUAUAGGAACAACAAUUGAUUGUUCCGGACCUAUUAUCAAACAAGAGUUAGAAGGUUGUGUAAUUUUCUAUUUUAGUUUGAACUGGUUCCCUCUUUAUUUAUUUAAUUUUUACUUUGGGUCAAUAGUCAUCAACAAUGUCGCAGCAAUAUGCUCAUGGUCAACGGAGUUAGGUCAAUCAGAUUGGAUGGUCCAAUGGUUCAUAGUGUAGAGGAUCUCCUAAGGCUUCAGAUUGAUUGCAAUUAUGUAAUUGUGAUGCUUAUUGUUAAUCUGCCAUCCAAUGAUAUAUGAAUAAGUAUUCUAGAGAUUUCAAAAAGCUUGAUUUUCUCAUAUACAUGUGCUGGUGUAGAAUAAUGAAUUGGAUUGAUUCAGUGGUCAAGGUAUAUCUAAAUACAAACGUACACACUACACACAUAUGAGCUUAUUCGGACUUUUGUAAUGUUUUGAAUUUCCUAUUUCCUCCGAAGCACCAGGUUUUUGUAAUGCUAGCUUGUAUGUUUUCUCAGACUAUUUCUUACACAUUUUUUUUUUUGGAUAUGUACAGAGUGAAGUGAAGUCGGAUUCGUUGUUGAUUUGUUCUUUCAGUGCGGUGCAGCAAGCAAAAGCAAAAUUAGGACAAUAUUGCAAUAGAUUCAAGUACACACCAUGAUGAAGAUGGUACUGAUGAAGAUGUUGCUGAUGAAUAUGAUGCAAACUCUAAUGAGGACUUUUAUUAGAUAUAUUGUUAGCUUCCUUGCUUAAGAAUGAUUAUAUUAGAAAGACCAAAUAUUGAAUAUUUAUCUUUAUCUGAACAUGUAUGAAUGAUUAACUAUGUUCUUCUAAUGCAAUUUUUUUAUGAAGAUUUAAUUGUCUC